CAAUAGCAUAUAUUAACGUUGUUGCAGUUGAAAAGCUCGUAGUUGAACUUUUGGUAGGAGCGACCUGGCCUUGGGCGCAUGCCCUUGUUUGCCGUGUGUCGUGUCUGGCCAUCCUUUGCUUCGUUUUUCGGAGGAAUCUUUUACUGUGAGUAAACUGGAGUGCUCAAAACAAGACGUUUGUUUGGUACAUUAAAGCAUGGAAUAAUAAGAUAGGACCUGGUUACUAUUUUGUUGGUUUGCAUAGCUAGGUAAUGAUUAACAGGGACAGUUGGGGGUAUUCGUAUUUAAUUGUCAGAGGUGAAAUUCUUGGAUUUAUGAAAGACGAACGACUGCGAAAGCAUUUACCAAGGAUGUUUUCAUUA
rnacentral:rRNA from 1 species